UGUUCCUCAUCAGAGGAUACCUAGGAGAUAACAUGGGGGGGGUGUUCCUCAUCAGAGGAUACCUAGGAGAUAACAUGGGGGUGUUCCUCAUCAGAGGAUACCUAGGAGAUAACAUGCAGAGGGAUGGGGGUAGAGUGCAUAUGUCAUACAUUUUGGCAAAGCUUUCAUGUACAGUACAAAUGUUUGUGUAUGCGAGGGAGAGAGUGUGUGUGUGUGUGUGUGUGUGUGUGUGUGUGAGUGUGUUGUGUGUGUGUGGGUUGGAGGGGUAACUCUUUGAAGGACUCAUUCUGUUUUAUUAAAAGGAGAGGUUGACCUGUUAUCACCGUUCUAGAGACUACAUCCUGUCAAUCUAUUAAAGGAGAGGUUUCUGUCAAUAUAUUAAAGGAGAGGUUUCUGUCAAUCUAUUAAAGGAGAGGUUUCUGUUAAUCUAUUAAAGGAGAGGUUUCUGUCAAUAUAUUAAAGGAGAGGUUUCUGUCAAUCUAUUAAAGGAGAGGUUUCUGUCAAUCUAUUAAAGGAGAGGUUUCUGUUAAUCUAUUAAAGGAGAGGUUUCAGGGACCUGUUAUCACCGUUCUAGAGACUACAUCAUGUCAAUCUAUUAAAGGAGAGGUUUCUGUCAAUCUAUUAAAGGAGAGGUUUCAGGGACCUGUUAUCACCGUUCUAGAGACUACAUCCUGUUAAUCUAUUAAAGGAGAGGUUUCAGGGACCUGUUAUCACUGUUCUAGAGACUACAUCCUGUUAAUCUAUUAAAGGAGAGGUUUCUGUCAAUAUAUUAAAGGAGAGGUUUCUGUCAAUCUAUUAAAGGAGAGGUUUCAGAGACCUGUUAUCACCGUUCUAGAGACUACAUCCUGUUAAUCUAUUAAAGGAGAGAUUUCAGGGACCUGUUAUCACCGUUCUAGA